rnacentral:lncRNA from 1 species
GUAUGUUCUGCUGGCUUGCCCCCCCACCACCACAGAAAGCACUGAGCUAGGCUGAAACACCUGCAUUCUGGAGCUGCCUUACUCAAGAAAGCAAAAAAGACCAUGUUUGAAGGACCAGCAAGAGGAGAAGACUAAAGAAAUCAUCCUGAGAGAAACUCAACGUGACCGUUAACAGAAGUCCAUUUAUGUAGCAGAGAACCUUGUUUCUCGCCUCCAAAAUGACGAUCCGUUUCAAUCUGUUCAGUACGCCUACCAGCAGGACUGACACGCUGAGGAAUAACACAGCCCAUGUUCCUGAACACUGAUACUAGGAGUUGGAUUAAAUGUUUUAAUCUGAAAUGAAGGUUCGCAUCUAAAAACUCACAGGUUUGGAUGGAACCAAAGUGAAGAAGGUGACCAAGUUCAAGGUGGAGAGGUAGGUGGCCAUCAAAGCAGAGGGUCGUGGAGGUUAAAGCCAUCAAAGCGGAGGGUCGUGGAGUUGUUGACACUACAGUGGCUGUGUCACUACAGGUCAAAUACCUGUGGCUGGCAAGGGAGCGAAGACGGGAGAGGAACCAAAGAGUAAAAGCAAGAGGUGCCUUUUGAAGUUCAUCCCAGUCGAGGGCCAGAGAAGUAGGUGCCAGCCGAGGGCCAGAGAAGUAGGUGCCAGCCGAGGGCCAGAGAAGUAGGUGCCAGCCGAGGGCCAGAGAAGUAGGUGCCAGCCGAGGGCCAGAGAAGUAGGUGCCAGCCGAGGGCCAGAGAAGUAGGUGCCAGUCGAGGGCCAGAGAAGUCGGUGCCAGUCGAGGGCCAGAGAAGUAGGUGCCAGCCGAGGGCCAGAGAAGUAGGUGCCAGUCGAGGGCCAGAGAAGUCAGGUGCCAGCCGAGGCCUGGUCCUGCUGGUCCAGCUGGGUCUGCUGACCUAUGACCUGUGUGUCAACUCCUUCAGUGAGCUGCUCAGGGCAGGGCCCGUCAUCCAGCUGGUGCUGUUCAUCAUCCAGGAUGUAGGUUCAGCAUCCAGGAUGUAGGUUCAG